CACAGGCAAAACCAGCUGCUCCGAGUCCUGUGUCUACUGGCGAAUUUGUGUAAAGAACUUUUGUAAAGAAAUCACACCGCUUGCCGUAAACCUUUGACACUUCUCUGUCUUAUGAAUAAACUGCUGUCCUGAAGAAUGAGGAUGAGAUUGUUCGACCCAGUUGGACAGAGAUUUCCUUACUUCAAACCAUCAAGAGACACAAAAAUAGAGGUCUGAGUCAUUUACAAACUAAGAAGCUCACCCCAAGUCAUACAGAAAACCGAAGAAUGGGAAGAUCAGCCCAGCCGCCAGAUACCACAAAUCUUCAUCCUCAGUGUGAAAACCCACUGCCACCACAAAAACGUUGCUCUCUGAGAAGGCCAGCCCAGCUGCUGAGAUUUCAACUGGGGCUCAGAUUGCCUAUAAAAACUGGACACUAAAAAAUUCUCACCGUUUACUCUGCAAUCUUCCGAUGACCUCCUUCGCUGCUGCCUGUGAAAACUCGAUGCUGCGGGGUGCUGGUGAGGUCCCCAACUCCUGAAGCCCAUCCAGUUCUCGCCAUCUUGGUGGGGAGGUAGGAGCCGGUGUGGGUAUGUGAUUCCAUCAGUUGGACCUCAGUCACAGCCAUCAUCGCACCCUCGAAUCUGACAAGCAAACCCGUUCAGCUGCAUGAACACCCACGUCUCGGCACCAA